rnacentral:lncRNA from 1 species
UAGAACCUGCAGGAAGAGAAUGAAGCCAACUUUUAGCUUUAUCAUAUAAAGAAAAAAAAAUAGUCUCAAUCUAAUGGCAUCAUCCGACACCCCAUUAAUUUUAAAAGUAUCACAGAGUUUAAAAAAAUUUAAAAUAUGGAUAUUCGGAUCAUCCUGAAUAUGUCCACUAAAUUGGAUAGUCGCUUGAAUCAUCUGGAUCAUCACCGACUUUAUCUCGAAGUUGUUUGCUCACACGGAUGGUCUCCUAAUGCUCGAAGCU